rnacentral:rRNA from 1 species
CGUGUAGGCGGUCUAGUAAGUCGGUCGUGAAAUCCCUAGGCUUAACCUAGGAACUGCGAUCGAAACUGUUAGGCUAGAGUAUCGGAGGGGAUGGCGGAAUUCCUGGUGUAGAGGUGAAAUUCGUAGAUAUCAGGAGGAACACCUGUGGCGAAGGCGGCCAUCUGGAAGAUUACUGACGCUGAGACGCGAAAGCGUGGGGAGCAAACA